UUAGAUCCAACGGCCCACGUUUUAAAGAAAUCUUGCGGGUUUAGUCCGGGUAAAAAGGGGGACGCAGGUCAGGAUUCGGGUUGGAACAAAACCGAGCUUCUUCCCUUCCUUUACACGCAAAAAACACAGAGAAGAGAGAGUGAGGAGAGAAGAACGACGAACAAGAACGAAGACGAACAAGGAGGGCUAAAAGGUGUGGCAUUUCACAGAUGUUUUCAGCUGCUAUGGGCCUAGAUAUUGAGGAAUAUCCACUCUCAGUACUUGAUCCUCUUUCAAUUCCAAUUUGGAGGGCUAAGAGGUGUAGUACAUUUCUGAGGAUACUAUCCAUUAUGUUGCUAGAAGCUGUUCAGAAUGUUGUUCCUUAUUUCAAGUGAGGAAUGCCUUGCACUUAUUGGACAUCUUGGAGACAAAAUGCUCUGCUCUGAUUUUUAUAUGAUGGAGAUUAAAGAGUUAACUUAUGCUGCUAUGGUGUUGAGCUGAUGAUGCUAAGGACCUGUUCUCUACUUGUUUAUUUCCAGUUUCUUUCUAUUCUUCAUUGAAUGUAUUUUUUUCUGUUUCUGUUUUUCUUUUUAUUUUGAACUCUGCUUCCUGCCUUGCCUCAAUUUUGCUUUGUGGCUUGCAUUUAGCUACUACCCUCAAUUUACCCUUUGCCAAUCAAAAUAUAUAUAAAAAAAAAAAAAAAUUCUGUUA